CCUGGGCACUGUUUCUUUACAAGGACACCCUGUGGACCAUGGGUGUGGCCAGCGGCGGGAGACGCGACAAUGGCCUGGGGGGCAUCGCGACCCAGGUGGGUGGGGAACCAGCAGAGGCUGCCCGGCAUCCUCGGGGAGGUGAGGAGCCGGCCCGGCUGACCCUGUCCUCAAUCACGCCCCAGGACGGCUUCAGUAGCGGCCGGCAGAGGGACAACUUCACCAUCUCUGGCUCCAGGAGCCCCGACGUCCUGCGCAGACACGAGCAACAUGGGCAUCCCGGGGUCCUGGGCCUUCCGUACUGACUCCUUUGUGGUUCCCAGUGGCUGUGCCCCAACGGUGACCGGGCAUCUGCUUCCUCUGCCCCUCUCCGUCCCCGAGGCUGGGCUUGCCGUCCACGCACGGGGCUCAGCCAGCCUCCUGGCCAUGGACAUAGGCCUCGAACUGCGGAUCCAGGAUGGGCAUCUGGAACUCGUGGUACCAGAAGCCGAGGCCAUGGUCACCAGGGGCCUGUGUGGGCCCGAGGCCUUGACCCCUCUGGGAAUGCCGCAGCUGGAGCCUGGGCCUUUCCAGGCCAGCUGGCAGGAGAGGUGCCCUGUAGCUCAGAAUGACCUGUCUGCCCGGCCCACCUGAGGGCCAGGUAUGCAGGCCCCAAGGCCUGUGGGCGGCUCUGAGAGCUGACAGACCCCUUUGCAGCCUGCACCUGAACUCUCCCUGUGGGACCAUUCGUGGACAGCUGUGUUGAGGAGCUGCCUGCAGCCAGCGGGACCUCUGUCAGGCACUGGCUGCCUUUGCCUGGGCCUGUCAAGCUAUCGACAUCCCUGUGGGCGGCUGGUGUGGUCCUGGCUUCUGCGGUGAGCUAGAGAGAGAUAGUAAAGAGGAAAGGAAGGUGGGAACUCGGUCCAAGAGCACUGUGUAGAGUUGCACAGGCUGUGAACUGCACAAAAAUAUCCGGCCCUGCCCUGGGGUCUGAGAGGACACAGCCCUACCCUGUGCGUGUGUGUGUGUGUGUGUGUGUGUGUGUGUGUGUGUGUGUGUAUGGGGGCAGGGUUUCUGAGGAAAGAGCUGCUCUGGGGUUCUAAGGCGUCAUGGCCCUCAUCUGGCUCGGGGUGUGGGGGGUGUGAGGGAACAUCUUGGAUGCAACACUCGGUGUUUACCUCUCACUCUCUGCUUGUUCCAGAACAAUCCUGCCCUGAAAACAGCCACUGGGAGACAUGUGCCGCCGUUUGCGGGGCCGGCUGACCCCGGAGGAGGUGCCUAUGGCCUGCCACAGCCCGAGUCGCGAGGGCUGCGCGUGCGACCGGCUACCUGCUCCGCAGCAGGGCUUGCGUGUCCCUGGCCCUCUGCAGCUGCCCCGGGUGCUCAGGAGCUGAGCCCGUGCUGUCACGAGCUGUGCAAGUCUGGAGGCGUGGUGGCUGCCUCACUGCAGACCCCGGGCAUGGGGGCCAGGGCACCAGGCUCUGGCAUUGUGGGGUCCCAGGGGGCAGCAGCUGGGUGUCGGGGAACCCCCACUACCACACCUUCCAUGGGGCCACCCUCACCGCCCAGGGGGCCUGCCUCUAUGUGCUGAGCCCCACCUGUCAGGCCGGCCCAGGGGCACCGGCUGUUUGAGUGGACAGUGAGUACCUGGGCC
rnacentral:lncRNA from 1 species